rnacentral:rRNA from 1 species
AUACGUAGGGUGCAAGCGUUAAUCGGAAUUACUGGGCGUAAAGCGUGCGCAGGCGGUUUUGUAAGACAGUGGUGAAAUCCCCGGGCUCAACCUGGGAACUGCCAUUGUGACUGCAAGGCUGGAGUGCGGCAGAGGGGGAUGGAAUUCCGCGUGUAGCAGUGAAAUGCGUAGAUAUGCGGAGGAACACCGAUGGCGAAGGCAAUCCCCGGGGCCUGCACUGACGCUCAUGCACGAAAGCGUGGGGAGCAAACAGGAUUAGAUACCCUGGUAGUCCACGCCCUAAACGAUGUCAACUGGUUGUUGGGGAUUUAUUUUCUCAGUAACGAAGCUAACGCGUGAAGUUGACCGCCUGGGGAGUACGGCCGCAAGGUUAAAACUCAAAUGAAUUGGCGGGG